UGGUAUCUGGCUUCUAACCUUCAAGAUGC
rnacentral:piRNA from 1 species